rfam:Spirochaetes bacterium GWB1_66_5 gwb1_scaffold_25114, whole genome shotgun sequence.
GGGCGGUUAGCUCAGCUGGAAGAGCACCUGGUUUACACCCAGGGGGUCGUCAGUUCAAACCUGGCACCGCCCA